rnacentral:miRNA from 1 species
CUCAACUUAGAAGUAAAAUUACUCUAGGUAUGAAAAUGCAUGCCUGUAAUUCCAGCACUGAGGAGGCUGAGGCAGGAGGAU